rnacentral:lncRNA from 1 species
AUGUAUUACAAGUUGAACAAAGCUAAGGUCAAUAUCAAACUACACAUGAAAUAACAAAUAGGCCUCUAAUAACAAAGAAAUUUGUCACUUGAAAGACUUCACUUUUCCUUACACACCUCCAAACGAAGUCCUUUGAGAGUGAAAUACUGCUCCUAAUGCUUGAACCACACUAAUUGCUAUCUCUAUCUGCAUAGACAUAAGCACAUGGAGCAAAAGAAAAUCUAUUGUACUGCUACAUGUAGAAAUACACAUUUAAUCUCAAGUAAGAAAAGUGAUACUGAAAGAAAACCUAACCAUUGUCAUACAAAACUAAAUCCCAAAAACACUAAGGUAAGACUCACUGUUUUUAUGAGUCUCUAACAUUUCACACAUGAAGAAUUGAUGCGGCAAGUAGAAGAUUGGAUAUUUGAUCAGUGGAUAUGGUUAUCAAUUAUGAUAUCCCCAAAAACUCUAAGGUAAGACUCAUUGUUUUUUAACCUAGUGGCUUGCUGUUAUCAAUUUACAUCAAAGUUAGCCAUUUAUCUAGUUUUUUGGUCUUAAUAUAUUACAAAUUCAACAUCAACAGAAGCAACAACAAAUUUCAAUUUUUUUUCAUUUCUUUUUGUUCCAUUUUCUUCAAUCCAAUAAAAUUUCAUGGGAACUAAAACAAAAGGAGAGAAAGAGAGAGUUCCCAACCCGUCUCAACUUCGUCUUUGGAAACUAGGCCCUGGGAACAGAUAGAGUGCCUAACCAAGAUACUCUAGCUAGUCAAAGGAGAUGAAUUCGGUUGGUAAGUUAAGAGCUAGUAAAAACAAAAUGUUAACUUAUAAAUUGAUAAAGACUUUAAUACUAAUAAAAUUUAAGUUUAAACUUUUCCACUCAUUACCGUUGCAUUUGCAACCUCUUCGUUUAAAAAUUCACCAAAGACUUCUACCGCUCGAAAUAGUAUCCACCUCACAAAAAACAAUUUUUGAUAAUUUGAUUCUCUACUCUACAGAAAUUAUUCUACCACCACCAGCUUAAUUAAAAUUAUGUUUUAGAGAAAAAAGAGUUAGAAAAACUAAGAAAAUGCGAAUAAAAUUCCAUGAAAACAAUAAUUCGAGGUCGAAGCGCUUGAGAUACGAUCAUGCAAUUAAGCCAAAAACAGUUUCAACCAACAAAAAUCAUGCAAAACAGAAUCAAACCCGACAACAAAAUCCAAAAUUCGAUCUCUGACAGAUAAAUGUGAUAAAUGUUUUCCGCGACUCUCUCUUACUCCUCUUCCUUCACAACCCAAUUCCAAUUCCCCUUCCUUGCCAUGAAGAAAAAAUUGCACAAAAUUGCAAAAAGAAUUGUAGAAAAAUUGCAGAGAUAAAGAAAAAAUUGCUGAGAUGAAGGAAGAAGAUAAAGUGUGAGAGGAAGAGGUAGAGGUUCUUGGAUUUGAAAUCCUAAGGUGUGAGAUAGGAUUCUAUUUGGUCUUGGUUAUAUAUACUUCUUGGCUUUUGGUAUUUUGGUAUUUUAACGAGGCUUUUGGUAUUUUGUUGUUUGGCCAUUCUGUUAAUUAUUAAUUUGAGAUUCAUGUAUCUUAGGUUGUGAUUUAAUGUUUUGUAGUAAUUUUGAUGCAUCGUAAGUUGUGUUUUAAAUUAAGUGGUCAGGUGAAACAAUUGUCAUUUAAUAUGCUUUGGUGGCUCUGGGAGUUGUAUUUGCAAUGAUGAAGAUGUUUUGGCAAACUAGUAUAUUAGGGAGGGAGUUUGAUAUGUUAAAGGAGACAAUUUGGAAUUAUAAUUUUAUGGUAAUGAAGAAUUGAGCAUUGCUCUUCUAUCAUUUUUAUGUCAAGCCUCGUGUGUUUUUUUUUUUUGACAUAUCUCCUCUAUCUCUUUGUCGUUCUGCAUUACAGAUCCCACAAAAUCCACAACUUAAUGAAAUCCUGGGAAAUCUUUAAUUUUUCAAUACACCUAGAUUUGAAUGGACUUUAAAAAUGACUAUUAAAAUCUUGAUUGACUACACCCAGAUUUGCAUGGAUUCUAAAAAUCCUUUAAAAUCCUUUAAAAUCCUUUGGUUGACUACACUAAGGGGGGUGUAUUCAAUUGAGAUUUUGAGGGAUUUUAAUUCUUUUAAUGAAUCUAGGAGUAGCCAAUCAAGAAUUUAAGUGAUUCUCUGAAAUUCAAUGUGUAUUCAAUCAGGAUUUUAAGAUAGUUUAUGAAAAUCCUUAGAAAUCCGGGUGUAUUCAAUUAGGAUUUUAAAGAAGUUUAUCACAUUACAGGUGUAUUCAAUUAGAAUUUGAUUUUAAAGAAUUUGAGAAAGUUGAGGAAUUAGAGGGAAUUGGAGAGAUUUCGUAGUGUAUUUUGAGCAUCCACAAAUCUCAUCUCUCCCCAAGAGAUUUCGAGGGAAUUGAAUCAAAAUUUUACAUGGAAUCUCUACAAAUCAAUUAAACUCCAUAUAAAUCCAUGGAUUUAUAAAUCGAUUAAAAUCUCUCAAAUUCUCAAUUGAAUACACCCUCCUAAGAUUUGAAAGUCUUUUAAAAUCCUUCCAAAUCCGAGUUUGAUUACAUCCCCCUAAAAGAAUCCUCCAUAUGUAAUAAUAAAUCAAGUUAAAAAAUCUCCAAUCACAGAAUAAUAAAGCCAGGCACAACUACAUAUAGAUUUAGAAAAAUCAAACUCAAAUUUACCCAAAUUGGAGGUUGCGGAGUGCGAAUGUGCAGGUGGAGGGGCUACUAGAGGAAAGUACCUGUAAAUUCAAAACCAAAUUUAUAUAUAAAUAAAAUAAAAAAUUUGAAAAAAGAAAAAACUUCAACCUUAAAACAUUGGGAGAAAAACGGCGGUCUCGUGUGUCUGGGAAAGGAAGAUUUAGGUGUCGAUUUGAGUUUUGGUGGAUUGGAUCUCCUGGGUUCUUGAAUUUUCGGUGGUGGACAACAAGUGACAUGGAGAUGAGGCCAUGGACUACGACAAACUGAUGGAGAGAGGGGUUUGUUGUUUGGGUAAAUAAAUCUGGGUAUGACAUGCAUGCCAGAGAGGAGAUGGCCUUCCUGUUGGGUCACGGUGGUGUGAAAGAAACGAGCAAUCUGAAAGGUAGAGAGAAAGAAAGGGGAAGUGAAGUGGAAUGGUCUAGAAUUUCACUUGUUUGAUAUUUCAUUAUGGCACUAUAAUUUCCCGCUGUGCAUUUUUUGUUAGGUGUGGAGUAGGAAAGUUUGGGUGGGAAGCUAGAAAUAUUAAUUAAGGCGUAUUAUUUGUGCCAUAAAAGGUAGGGAUCUAAAUAUAUAGAAAAUUCACUUUACGACAUAAUGUGAUGUCUUAAAGGAGUAGGAAAGUGCGUCGUGUAAAUUGUCAAAUACGACACACAACGCUUACGCCGUAAAUAUUUUUAUUUAACGACUUGCAUAAAAGUGAUGUUGUGAAUGCUAGAUUAUGUGCAAGUAUUAAGACAUGAAAUUUACGAAUGUCGUGAAUAAUAUCAUUUAAGGCAUGCUAGUAUUGUACGCCGUAUAUUUCAAGUCGUAAAAGACCCAAACUGUUGUAGUGUUGGUAUGCAAGUUUUUGAGAGACAAUAAUUGAUAAGUUCAGUAGUCAUAUUGGUUUGAUCAUGUCCUGUAUUUAAUUCUUGUUCUUUGUAGUGAUGUUUUACUUUUUAACCAAAAAAUUUGAAUAAUAUUUUUGGAAGUUUGAAAUUGAAGGUUAAUGAUAUUGUUGUACUAAUUAAAGCUUACAUUGCCUUUUCAAAAAAUUAAAUAAAAAAGGAAAUUUAGGCGCCUAUCUCUAGUGAUGAUAUGACUUCGAUUGAAACUUGUAUAUUGCCAACUUUUGAUUCAAGUCCUUUGACUUCUUUUCACAUCAAUAUUUUAGUUGCCAACUUAACAUCUUAUAUUAUUUUGUUAUAACUAGAUGAAUCCCACCCACUGUGUUCGUAAAUAUAAAAAUUUAAAAAGAAAACUAUAAUAUGGACAAAGAGAGAAGUUAGGGGGAAAUGAGAGAGAGAGAGAGAGAGAGAGAGAGAGAGAGAGAAUGUGGUUUAAAAAAAAUUAAAGAUGCUAUAAUGACAUAU